UAAUCGAAACUGUUGACCAGCCAAGCUCACUUCACCCCAUCUUAGAACCAUCAUUACAGAUUUGUCCAAUUUGCCAGAUCUCUUUCCCAACUGAUGUCUUGCCUUUUCAUGCAAGCAUGUGUGGUGAAGGAGAAAGGACUUUUGGUGACAAUGAUUCUUCAUUCACUUUAAAUACAGAAGAAUUGCCAGGACCCUCAACUGCACAAUCUUCAACAUCCCUGUCUGCAGCAUGGAAAAAUGAAAUUGACCCAUUCAAAUCAUCUCGAAUGUUCUGUGAUGAGUUGCUCUCCAUCAAUUCACACUGUCCAUUUCUAUCAUUACUCAUCAACCAGUUUGAUACUAUGGAUGAACAAGAUAGUACCCUGGUUUCAUUUUAUAAAAUGAACAGUGCUAAUUGGUCCACUCCAUUGAAAUAUAGAUUGACUGGAGAUGCAGCUGUUGGCAAGGGAGUUAACCGCCAUAUUUUGUCAAUGAUGAUGCAAAAACUGAAGACUGGCUUCACUUUAAAUUUGGGUUUGUAAUUGGUUGCAGUUCGGUUACAUGUGCAC